GCACUCGGGGAAUUCUUACACAAUGGCAGCAAUGCCGGAAUUCUUAGCCAAUGGGGGCAAGCAAUGAUCUCCCCCAUGCUUGCUUAAACCGAUUAAGCCCUUAGGGUAGUAAAGCUCUUUCAUUCUGGGAAGAUAAUGACGGUAUCGCAAAAAGAAGCCCCGGCUAAUUCCGUGCCAGCAGCCGCGGUAAUACGGAGGGGGCAAGCGUUAUUCGGAAUUACUGGGCGUAAAGCGCACGUAGGCGGUUUUGAAAGUCAGAGGUGAAAUCCCAGGGCUCAACCUUGGAACUGCCUUUGAAACUCCCAGUCUAGAGUUCGAGAGAGGUGAGUGGAAUUCCGAGUGUAGAGGUGAAAUUCGUAGAUAUUCGGAGGAACUCCAGUGGCGAAGGCGGCUCCCUGGCUCGAUACUGACGCUGAGGUGCGAAAGCGUGGGGAGCAAACCAGGAUUAGAUACCCCUGGUAGUCCCACCCCCGUAAACCGAUGAAUGCCAGUCGUCGGGUACGCUUCCCACUUCGGUGACACACCUAACGCAUUAAGCUUCCCGCCUGGAGACGCA
rnacentral:rRNA from 1 species